rnacentral:rRNA from 1 species
CUUGGCGGCGAAAGAUUGAUCGCCGGAGGAUUGGCCCGCGUCCGAUUAGCUAGUUGGCGGGGUAAAGGCCCACCAAGGCGACGAUCGGUAGCUGGUCUGAGAGGAUGAUCAGCCACAUUGGGACUGAGACACGGCCCAAACUCCUACGGGAGGCAGCAGUGGGGAAUAUUGGACAAUGGGCGCAAGCCUGAUCCAGCCAUGCCGCGUGAGUGAUGACGGCCUUAGGGUUGUAAAGCUCUUUCGCUCGGGACGAUAAUGACGGUACCGAGAUAAGAAGCCCCGGCUAACUUCGUGCCAGCAGCCGCGGUAAUACGAAGGGGGCUAGCGUUGUUCGGAAUUACUGGGCGUAAAGCGCGUGUAGGCGGGUCUUUAAGUCAGGGGUGAAAUGCCAAGGCUCAACCUUGGAACUGCCUUUGAUACUGGGGAUCUUGAGUCCGGGAGAAGUGAGUGGAACUGCGAAUGUA